CUCAACAAAGCUCCGGGGCCCGGAGGCCUCCAAAGCUAAACAAAUAACGAAGCCACACACCAACUUACAGCUGCUGUUGCCACCAAGGGAGAACGGAAACACUGAAAGCUCACUUCAUUCCCAGAGAGAACCGGCCAUGAAAGUCACUCAAAGAAGCUUGCUAAUCCUUCUUGGCUUCCAUCUGUUGAUCUUCUCUGCCUUUGGCACUUUAAGUCAAGCAGCAGAGAAUCCAACCCAUCGGCUGAAGAGAGUCCAGGGAGGAAUAGU